rnacentral:rRNA from 1 species
GACGAACGCUGGCGGCGUGCUUAACACAUGCAAGUCGAACGGAAAGGCCCUGCUUUUGUGGGGUGCUCGAGUGGCGAACGGGUGAGUAACACGUGAGUAACCUGCCCUUGACUUUGGGAUAACUUCAGGAAACUGGGGCUAAUACCGGAUAGGAGCUCCUGCUGCAUGGUGGGGGUUGGAAAGUUUCGGCGGUUGGGGAUGGACUCGCGGCUUAUCAGCUUGUUGGUGGGGUAGUGGCUUACCAAGGCUUUGACGGGUAGCCGGCCUGAGAGGGUGACCGGCCACAUUGGGACUGAGAUACGGCCCACACUCCUACGGGAGGCAGCAGUGGGGAAUAUUGCACAGUGGGCGGAAACCUGAUGCAUCAACGCCGCGUGCGGGAUGACGGCCUUCGGGUUGUAAACCGCUUUCGCCUGUGACGAAUCGUGAGUGACGGUAAUGGGUAAAGAAGCACCGGCUAACUACGUGCCACCAGCCUCGGUGAUACGUAAGGUGCGAGCGUUGUCCGGAUUUAUUGGGCGUAAAGGGCUCGUAGGUGGUUGAUCGCGUCAGAAGUGUAAUCUUGGGGCUUAACCCUGAGCGUGCUUUCGAUACGGGUUGACUUGAGGAAGGUAGGGGAGAAUGGAAUUCCUGGUGGAGCGGUGGAAUGCGCAGAUAUCAGGAGGAACACCAGUGGCGAAGGCGGUUCUCUGGGCCUUUCCUGACGCUGAGGAGCGAAAGCGUGGGGAGCGAACAGCCUUAGAUACCCUGGUAGUCCACGCUGUAAACGGUGGGUACUAGGUGUGGGGUCCAUUCCACGGGUUCCGUGCCGUAGCCUAACGCUUUAAGUACCCCGCCUGGGGAGUACGGCCGCAAGGCUAAAACUCAAAGGAAUUGACGGGGCCCCGCACAGCCGGCGGAGCAUGCGGAUUAAUUCGAUGCAACGCGUAGAACCUUACCUGGGUUUGACAUGGAUCGGGAGUGCUCAGAGAUGGGUGUGCCUCUUUCGGGGUCGGUUCACAGGUGGUGCAUGGCUGUCGUCAGCUCGUGUCGUGAGAUGUUGGGUUAAGUCCCGCAACGAGCGCAACCCUUGUUCACUGUUGCCAGCACGUUAUGGUGGGGACUCAGUGGAGACCGCCGGGGUCAACUCGGAGGAAGGUGGGGAUGACGUCAAGUCAUCAUGCCCCUUAUGUCCAGGGCUUCACGCAUGCUACAAUGGCUGGUACAGAGAGUGGCGAGCCUGUGAGGGUGAGCGAAUCUCGGAAAGCCGGUCUCAGUUCGGAUUGGGGUCUGCAACUCGACCUCAUGAAGUCGGAGUCGCUAGUAAUCGCAGAUCAGCAACGCUGCGGUGAAUACGUUCCCGGG